rnacentral:rRNA from 1 species
AUACGUAGGGAGCGAGCGUUGUCCGGAAUUACUGGGUGUAAAGGGCGCGUAGGCGGGGGUGCAAGUCAGAUGUGAAAUCUAUGGGCUUAACUCAUAAACUGCAUUUGAAACUGUAUCUCUUGAGUGCUGGAGAGGUAGACGGAAUUCCUUGUGUAGCGGUGAAAUGCGUAGAUAUAAGGAAGAACACCAGUGGCGAAGGCGGUCUACUGGACAGUAACUGACGCUGAGGCGCGAAAGCGUGGGGAGCAAACAGGAUUAGAUACCCUGGUAGUCCACGCUGUAAACGAUGAAUACUAGGUGUGGGGGGACUGACCCCCUCCGUGCCGCAGUUAACACAAUAAGUAUUCCACCUGGGGAGUACGGCCGCAAGGUUGAAACUCAAAUGAAUUGACGGGG